rnacentral:rRNA from 1 species
UCGGGAAUUUUGGGCAAUGGGCGAAAGCCUGACGCAGCCAUGCCGCGUGAAUGAUGAAGGUCUUAGGAUUGUAAAAUUCUUUCACCGGGGACGAUAAUGACGGUACCCGGAGAAGAAGCCCCGGCUAACUUCGUGCCAGCAGCCGCGGUAAUACGAAGGGGGCUAGCGUUGCUCGGAAUUACUGGGCGUAAAGGGAGCGUAGGCGGAUAGUUUAGUCAGAGGUGAAAGCCCAGGGCUCAACCUUGGAAUUGCCUUUGAUACUGGCUAUCUUGAGUAUGGAAGAGGUAUGUGGAACUCCGAGUGUAGAGGUGAAAUUCGUAGAUAUUCGGAAGAACACCAGUGGCGAAGGCGACAUACUGGUCCAUUACUGACGCUGAGGCUCGAAAGCGUGGGGAGCAAACAGGAUUAGAUACCCUUGUAGUCCCUGAGCGGGCUGGCAAGGCGCAU